CUAAUAGGAUGCCUUUUAGGAAAAAAGAGAACCCAUGAUAUUAAAAGGCUAAGUUUUUUUCACAUUUAUUAUAGAUAAGUUCAAUCUGAAGAAAAAAAAUUUAUAUUUUUUUGAGACAGGGUCUCGCUAAGUUGCUGAAGACUCUGAACUUGUGAUCCUCCUGCCUCAGCGUCCCCAGCGCUGGGAUGACAGGCAUGUGCCACCACACCCAGCUGAAGGAAAAUAAUUUUUAUCCAACUGCUAUGGACUGAAUGUGUUCCCCCAAAAUUCACAUGUUGAAGCCUAAUCCCCAAUAUGGUGAUAUUUAGAGGUGGGGUCUGCUGCAACACGUGAAUGAAUCAGUUGGGAUCACUCCACGUGAAUUGGGCUGGCUACUAAAUAACUACACAGAGACAGAAAAUACCUUUUUUGGGGUUCAGUGAUGGCUUCUUGACCCCAGCUCCCACAAAGGAGGCAAGAGAGGCAGGCAAAAGAGAAAAGCAUGCCUGAAACUCUCCUAUUUAUUUGUGGGGAAGACAUUCAAGAAAGUUCAACCCAAAUAAGGCAAGAGAUUGGAUUGCAGGGGGUUGCUUAGUGAUGUCUUCUGUUUAGCAGACUGACAUCUUGGAAAGCCAGACCCAUCUCAGGUGCUAUGUGGGGAUCAUAGGCAGAGCGAUCAAAAAGGACAGAUCAGAAAAGCAAUGUCAGUCUAGGCUUGCGACAUGACCCUCAGAGGUAUGUGGGUAAUGAGGGUGGAGACCUCAUGAAUGAGGCGGUCCCUCUAUGUCAUGUGAGGAUACAACAAGAAGUGGGCCCUCACCAGAAUCCAGCCAUGCUGGUACCCUGACAUUGCACUAAACCAUCCACUCUAUGGUGUUUUUGAUACAGCAUUCAGGCUCUCUGUGCCUCUUUUUUCCAUCUGUAGAGAUAAGAUUGUGGUACUAAAUGAGGAAGUUUAAAUCUGGAAUCCAUGAAUAGUCAGGCCUUGAAACCCCUGAAAAUUAAUGCAAAAUUAUACAUAUGUUUGAGGAUCUAGCUUGACAUGACAGCCAUCUUGAUCAUAACUGUCAUUUUGCUUUCAGAUGACCCUGCACACGGUUCAAACCCUACAUGAUAGCUGUUGAGAUAUUUAGCCUAGUGUUUUGUACUGGCUACUGAUGCCCAAACUGUUUGUUUCUAUUUUUUAUUUUACUUUUUUGUAGUUGGGUGUGGACAGCAUGGCUUUAUUUUAUUUAUUUUAUGUGGUGCUGAGGAUCAAACCCAGUGCCUCACCCAAGCACUCUGCCACUGAGCUAAAGCUCCAGCCCCCAUUUUGUUUCUUACCAACACUUAAUAUGUUAAUAGUUUUUAAUAGCCCAAGUACAUUCCCUUUUUCCUUCCUUGGGGUGCAGGGAUCUGUCUACUGCUGCUACCAAAGACAUGCUUUUGCCCCUAGAUCACUGAUUGUGCUACGUGCAGUCCUGUAUAUGUCUUCCCUUUUUCUUUGGGUACCUUGCACCUGUGGCAGGCCAUCCUCAUACACCAGGUUUUUCUGGUGAGCUAUUCAUACUAUUCACCUGAUUUUCAAAAGAGAACACUAGAAAAAGCU
rnacentral:lncRNA from 1 species